UACGAAGGGGGCUAGCGUUGUUCGGAAUUACUGGGCGUAAAGCGCGCGCAGGCGGCUAUCCAAGUCAAGUGGUGAAAGGCCCGGAGCUCAACUCCGGAACUGCCAUUGAAACUGUUUAGCUUGAGGAUGAGAGAAGGUGAGUGGAAUUCCCAGUGUAGAGGUGAAAUUCGUAGAUAUUGGGAAGAACACCGGUGGCGAAGGCGGCUCACUGGCUCAUUACUGACGCUGAGGUGCGAAAGGCCGUGGGGGAGCAAA
rnacentral:rRNA from 1 species